CAAAUGCAAAAAUAUGAUUAAAAAAAAACAAAUGAUGGACUAAUCUUUCUGAUCAAACUGCAUUACUAGGAUCCAGGCUAAUUUUAAACAAAUUUUAAAAAAAUGCACAGUUCUCAGAGUAUACCUCUUAGGGGGAGAUAUCUGUUUUUAAACUCCUCUGUGAAUUUACAAAGAGCAAGGAUCUGAAACAGGAAUGACAACUAGAAUUCUUUGGGGCCCCAGUUCUUAUCUUUUCUGUUGACUUCUCACUUACCUGGAAGACCAGAACAAAAUGCAGGUGAGAAUGUUCAUUUGGAUCCAUUCAUAAAGGAUGUGUUAGACAUUUGACCAUCUCCCCAUUCAGCCGACAUGUAUAGAGAACUGUGACUCAACAUGGUUCCAGAGGGAAAAAAAGAUGGUCUUUCCCAUAUAAGAAGAUAAGUAGAUAUACAAGGGGACAGUCUCCUCGUGGUUUUAAG
rnacentral:lncRNA from 1 species